CGAAAGUGCAGGCAGCAAAAGAUACGGGAUGAAAGAUGAAAGUUGACCGCAAGUAGAAAGACGAUGCUGAAAGUGCAAGUGGCUAGGCGGAUCGAUCGAAUCGAUGUAAGACGGUUACGGUUAUGGAGACAUCAGAUUGGUGCAGGUGUCAACUCAGGUUGCACGAGUGGUUUCCCUUUUGGAAGAUUCCUCUUCCCAACUGGCAGAACUUUGAGUUGAAAGAUGAGUGUGUGUGUGAAUUGAAUGUGAAUAUUGUGACAAUGUAAAGUGUGAAGUGUUCCCCUGCCAGACAUUUCUCAAUGGUUUUUUUUUUUCAUUUCGCCAGAACUUGUGGACAAUUUGCCAGAGCACCGCCAAACAAAACUCGUACAGCGAUUUUUCUUCGCAUUGGCCAUGGUAAUUAAUCAAACUGCUGCCAUCUGCCGAAAAGCGUUUGAAUCGAUGGCUAAACGCAAAAAAUUCGUUGAAAGCCGAAAAUGUGCAUCGAUCGCUCUUAAAACUGGCAACCACCGACCGAACAAUUCAAAGAGCCAGGACAAGUUGUGGUGAUAGCCAGAAAGUUGGCUCAAAAUUUAUAUCAAUCGAAUGUCGUUGGCCGGAAUCGUUAAGAUACUCGUUUGAUCCUCAAAUAGUUGAAUAUGCUAAGCAUCUCAGACUGGAGGAAGAAUCCAGGCAAAACCAACAAAAUCAUCGAAUGCCAUUAGUAACAUGGUCAGAAACUUGCAACAAUGUUGUCAGCCAGCCAUGAAAGUGCACUGGAAAAAAAAUCGCUUGGCAAAAGAUAUAAAAAUUACUACCUACUACAUUUACAAUAAAUGAAACACAUUGGCAAGCUAUAAAAGCACAUUACGCCUUUCAAUUUAAUUUAUAAUAAAAUGCAUCUAAUUUAGUUUAAGGCAAGCAAUUCAUGGAUAAUUAACAACAGAAGUUUCAUCUUAAUUAUUAUUUUUUUUUUAAUUUGGCAUGCUCCUUUUAUCCUCUACAAAAAUGGUGUCCGAGUGCAAAUGUUUAUGUUAUGACAAUUGUCGACCGACCACACAAGAAAGGGGGCUGCAACUCGAAGAUCCCGAAAUGGGCGGUGAGGGUCCAGUGCCGGCCAAACUGUGCACUGCCCACUGUCAUUAAGGUUGCGCCACUUGCUUUCAUUUCGCUGAGCUUGCAGUUUUGCUUCAGAUUCCCACCCAUCCACUCCACUGUCCUCUCACCUUGCCUUAAUUGUUUUGUUGCACUCGGCGGGCGCGAGAGGCAACUUUCUAUUUGCGCAUUUGCACAGGGACUGUAAACCACGGUAAAUGCUUGCUUUUUAUUGAAGAUGCGACUUGCGACAGCGGCUGGAAACGAUAAUAUUUAUUUUCCUCCUCAUUUCAAAUGGGUAUU
ensembl:ncRNA lncRNA:CR44936 long non-coding RNA:CR44936